GGUUGUGUCGGCUGCUUCGGGAAGAUUCGGAGGUAACGCGACCAAUCACGAUCACUUAUAGUUUGCGAUCAGUGCAGUUGAUAAAUGGAGGAUUUGUGUUUGUCAAGGUAGUUUUGUUUACGCGUAAAUUUUCAUUCGGUAUCAACACAUCGUGCGUUUUGUGUGUGCUAAGAGGUAGAUGAAGGAUUUAAAAUGUCUCGCAAUCAUAAAGACAAGUAUGAAAACUCCAACCCACGGCGUACACAUACUUUUAUGUCUACGGAGGAUGCAAACUCUGGGAAAAAAUCUUAUUGGCCAGAGUUGGAGAUAACAGGCAGUAUAAGAAAUUUAAGCCCAAAUUUAUGGCAACUAACUCAUCUAACAGCUUUGUAUCUCAAUGAUAAUAGUUUACAAAGGAUACCAUCUGAGAUUGGACGUUUAGUCAAUUUACGUGCUUUAGAUCUCAGUAGCAAUAAAUUACGCAGUUUACCAGCUGAACUGGGGGACCUCAUCUAUCUCAGAGAAUUGUUAUUAAACCAAAAUUACCUCCGAGUGUUACCAUAUGAAUUAGGAAAAUUGUUUCAAUUACAAGUGCUUGGACUUCAAGGUAAUCCACUCAGCAAGGAAAUAUUGGCGUUAUAUGGAGAACCAUCAGGGACUCACAAGCUGCUAUCAUAUAUGCUGGACAAUUUACAAGGUAUGUGCAGUUUUCCUUGAUCUAUGAUACUUACAUAAUUAUUGUAAACGUAUCUAUAGUUUAUGUAUUCCGUCGUAUAAUGAACAAAUCAAUAGGGGGGAAAAAAUGGCGGAUUACCCUGCCCGUAUCGUUUUCCCACUUCCAUAUGAAUAUAUUCGCAAAUGACCAGAGCUAUUUACUUCCAUGGUACACUUUCGAGCAUAUCGGUGGGAUUCGCUGGAACUUUUGAAAGGAAAGCUAUUCGAAACUGUGUAACGUCUCGAAUAUAAAUGCAUUCGUUCCGCAGAAUGUUAUGAAUCAACGGUUAACCAGGCCGAAUGCAUCGUAAUACAAGAGCUGAAGAAAAAUGAUCCGAAGAAAGGCCGUUGUAUCGAUAGGCGGAUACAAUCGAAUGUUUGAUUUCUUAGAAAACAAUUGCGGGUUGGAUACCUAUAAUCGAUUCGAUGUUACGUGAUAAUUGGAACGUAUUAGUCGUAUAUAUGAUUCACGAAACUAUUUGACGCACAGAUAUAGUGUGAAAAUUCUGAUUUUGAUAAAGUUUUUGAUUUUUCUAUAAGAUAUUUUUGGAAAGCAUAACGCAAAAAUUCGUAUACAAAGAUAUCAAUUGAUUAAAAUUUAUUAAUGUUAAAUUAUAAGUAAUGUCUUCGUCACACUUACUGUCAAACUCUAUUUUCGUCUCGUUUCAUUUAAGGCAAACUUGAAUUGCAUGUAACCUAAUAAAUAAAUUUCAAUCUAUAUGUUUGUUUCGGCCUCCGGAAAAUUGAUUUUCCAAAGUGUCCCGUAAUACGAGUAUAAUUACACGUGCAAUUUUUUCGUCAAUCUCUUUGAAAUUGAAGAUUCGUACUAACUUUAACUUUUGUUUAUAAGCUUUUUUCUGGAAUCGAUUAUCUAUAUUUGGGUCACGCUUAUUUGACUACUUACGAAAGAUCUAUAUAAAUUCGUAGGUAUUUGAAAAGAUAUUCCACAGAAUGUAAUAAAAUUACUAUUAAAUUUUUAUAAAA